CCCCUCUCAGGAUCUCACCUAGAGAGUUUCCAGUACUCAUCCAGUCUCGGUUACGGGAGGGAGAGUUAAGAAGAGGUCGACCCAUUCCAUUCCUAGCUUGGCCAGUGGCUAGCGAGUGGAAAGCAAUCUGCUACAGAU